rnacentral:rRNA from 1 species
GACGAACGCUGGCGGCGUGCUUAACACAUGCAAGUCGAACGGAAAGGCCCUGCUUUUGCGGGGUGCUCGAGUGGCGAACGGGUGAGUAACACGUGAGUAACCUGCCCUUGACUUUGGGAUAACUUCAGGAGACUGGGGCUAAUACCGGAUAGGAGCUCCUGCUGCAUGGUGGGGGUUGGAAAGUUUCGGCGGUUGGGGAUGGACUCGCGGCUUAUCAGCUUGUUGGUGGGGUAGUGGCUUACCAAGGCUUUGACGGGUAGCCGGCCUGAGAGGGUGACCGGCCACAUUGGGACUGAGAUACGGCCCAGACUCCUACGGGAGGCAGCAGUGGGGAAUAUUGCACAAUGGGCGGAAGCCUGAUGCAGCAACGCCGCGUGCGGGAUGACGGCCUUCGGGUUGUAAACCGCUUUCGCCUGUGACGAAGCGUGAGUGACGGUAAUGGGUAAAGAAGCACCGGCUAACUACGUG